AAGAAAGAAAUUGCAUGCAACCUAAUCUCAGUGAGUGCACCAUCUUCAGUGAGGCUCGUGCCUGCUUCCUGCAGCUGCUUUGUUCCCAUUGUGAAUGGUCACUUGCAGGUUCAGCCUUGGAUAACUGCCAAAAUAACUCAAAUCACACAAACCAGAAAUUUGGGAGAGCAGAUAAUCCUCAUCAACUUUCAUUUUGCAGGAUCAAACUGACUUUCCCUUUUAUUUGGUGUUGACAAUGAACUCUAAUAGAGCCUGUUUCUCUAAUCUUCUCUCCAGCACUGUGCAUGCCAAUGUGGGUUUAUAAUGUAAAUACCAACAGUUGAAGUUCUUCUACAUUGAGGGGGUUUUAUUUUUCCUUUAUGAGUGACUUUUCUCUCUCAAACCCAGCUGCUAAACAGAAUGAUCAGGGCCAGGAAAAUAAAUAACCAUUUUAAUUAGCAUGGUUACUUCUUUUUGCCUUCCCCUCCAUAUGAUAUGGGGUAGAUUUUUGGAGUAAUCUACAGAAGAAGAAGAAAGGGCUUCAUGGAGCCUUUUGCUCAGCACUAGUAAAACUGUCUCCUACUGAACAAAUGUAGAGGUGUGGGACUUACCUAUUAGCAGGAAGAGAGUGGGAGAAGGGUAGUUUGUUGCAGCACCACCCAUAGCUAGAGGGAUGUUUGUUUAAACUUCUUUUCAAAUCUACUAUCCCAAUAGAUAACCUGUUUUUUAUUACAAUUGAAAUAAACUACUUUAAACCAA